CCCGGAUUUGCCGCCGCGCUUGGGAAGCCGCCACCGCCGCCGCUGCUGCAUGGCACUAGGCUCCCGGCGGGGCAGGUUCCGCAGCCGGCACCGCUCUGGCUAGGCGCACGGAGGCGCCUUGCUUAGUCUGACCCUUAUUUGGCCAGGCGUAAAACUUGUCCUGCCUAAAAGCCUACUGAGACCUCCUAACUGGUCUAAUCCGCGGGAGACGCCAAAGGCGGCGGCCGUUUGUGCGCACAGGAUUUUUCUUGGAGCUGUAGCAGUCUAGGAAGCCAGGGUGGAACUUUUGCUAAGCUCCCGUUGUAAGCCCAGAGCUGUAAUAACUGCUGAGACACAACCAGCAGUAUACAGGCUCCAGUUGGAAAUCGAGAACUUUCCAGGGCUGUCACCCAGGCUGGAGUGCAGUGGUGCCAUCACAGCUCACUGCAGCCUCGACCUCCUAGGCUAAAGUGAUCCUCCCAACUCAGCCUCCCGUAGCUGGGACUACAGGAAUGUGCCACGCCCAGACACCAUAACUCUGUGUGUGUAUGAGAG
rnacentral:lncRNA from 1 species